rnacentral:rRNA from 1 species
UACGAAGGGGGCAAGCGUUGUUCGGAAUCACUGGGCGUAAAGCGCGCGUAGGCGGAUUGUUAAGUCAGGGGUGAAAGCCCGAGGCUCAACCUCGGAAUUGCCUUUGAUACUGACAAUCUGGAGUCCGGGAGAGGUGAGUGGAACUCCUAGUGUAGAGGUGAAAUUCGUAGAUAUUAGGAAGAACACCAGUGGCGAAGGCGGCUCACUGGCCCGGUACUGACGCUGAUGCGCGAAAGCGUGGGGAGCAAACAGG